UAUUGUACAAUUGUGAUGUUUUAUAUGUAUUUUUCCCACCCUGUGUUUGUAAUUACGUCUUGUGAAGUGUGAACGCCUAUUCUUAGCAGCACCUUUCAACGCCUGACUGCAAUUUAUUAUCAUAUUUCCAUGAUUUCUAUGAUCUGGAGUCAGUCUUGAAGGGAUUACGCCAUUUGCUGUGUCCCUAGAUGUUUACGGAAUAAAUACAAGUGUUGUUUUGAAAGCGUUGGACCUACGAGUACAUAGAGUGCAUCCAUCUGUACAUCGAUGGAAACGAAUUACAGAAUUUCAGAGCAGUGACCGAAAAUGAGAGUGAGAGUUGAGAGGGAACAAAGUCAGAGUCGUAAAAAAACGCUAUGUAUAGACUUCUGAAUACCAUUCUAAUAAUUGGUGGAAUAUUUAUAUAUUUGUAAGUGUAUAUUUCGUUUAUAUUCAUUGCUUUAAGGAUUUUUAAUAUUGUAAGCAAUUAAACUGUCGCUAUAGGCAACGCCAAUGCGACCGUUUUUGAUUAUUUGCCUAAUCCUAGUUACACGGGAUCGUGAAAUAUUUAAAUUGAUAGCAUUAGCAGUGGCCAACGCACUGACAUGUGUAAAAAG